UCAGCUCAAGCUAAAUCUCCCGAAUUUAGCUUUAGCCACUCAUUUUUUGGGAUUCCAUUCAAUUUAAACAUAUAUUUUAAUCCAAAUAAAUUGUAGUUUACUUAACUUUGCAUUGAAUUAAUAUAAUUUUUAUUUAAGAGUUUAUCUGACGAUUAUUAGUGAGGUAAAGGGCCUUUGUUUUUGCCGAUCUCCAACUGCCCCUGCCCCUGCCGGGCGGGGUGGCUCCCUCCCCAUCGCCGGAUGUGGGUUUUUCUACCUACUCUUCCGGGUGAAGGUUUUGUUUUUUUUGUUGGCAGGAAGAUUUUAUUAUGAAGGAGUUCAACUUUGUCCUGCCUUUCUGUGUUCGUUUUCUUUUCUUCCUUCUUAACUUUUGGUUGUUUGCAGGUGGAGGUCUUCUGAAGCUAAGCCUUUGAAGAUUUUGUUCCAAAUGAUGGAGGGGUGGCAUCCUCACAAAGCUUUUUCCUUCAUCCACCAGGGUCAUCGUCUUUGGAGUCCUCCUCCUUACCUCUGGCGAUGGAGAUUGGACUUGAUUGUAGAAGUAUACCAUUCUCUUUCUCAGGCAUCUAGCGGUUCACCGCCCCCUUCUCGACCUGCAUGUGUGUUUAUAUUUGAUCCAAGAUUUGAUCUCCUUCCUUAAUCUUUUGGUUGCUGGUAGUUUUUUUUUUUUUUUUAUGGUUUAUCCUCCGUUCAUCAUUAGUCUUUGAUGGCCUUGACUUCUAUUGCUGGAGGACUACUUACAUGUCGACAAUGUUGCCGAAGAGAUUAAGGAAGGAGAGCAUUGCCGAAGAGAUUAAGGAAGGCGAGUGGCGCUUUUGUGGUAGCUGGUCGGGUUGGGUAUCAGAUCAAGGUUGUUGUUCGGGUCUUAGAGUUUGAAGUUCUUGGGCUGCUUUCUUUGAACCUUAAAAUCUUGAGAGUUUAUAAUAAAAUAGUUUUUUAUAUAAUGGAUUUAGCCUUUUGAACUUUGCAGUAUAUCCUUGGGUCUUAUACCUCUAUCAAUGCAUAUUUUAUAUCUUUUAAAAAAAUUGAUGAUUAUUAUGACUUUGUCAAUAUUCUUUUUCUUUUUAAUCUUAAAAAGAAAAUUUAUAUUUUCUUAUAAACAGAACAAUUUAUUGAUGAAGAAUAGAAAAGGAGGUCAAAACAGAUUUCAAAGAAGAGAGC
rnacentral:lncRNA from 1 species